AGGAGCGCCUCUGCCCGGCCACCCAUCGUCUGGGAUGUGAGGAGCGCCUCUGCCCGGCCACCCAUCGUCUGGGAUGUGGGGAGCGCCUCUGCCCGGCCGCCCCGUCUGGGAAGUGAGGAGU